AACGAACGCUGGCGGCAGGCCUAACACAUGCAAGUCGAGCGCCCGGAUUUAUCCGGGAGCGGCGCACGGGUGAGUAACGCGUGGGAACAUGCCCUGAAGUACGGAACAACCUGGGGAAACCUUGGCUAAUACCGUAUACGCCCUGAGGGGGAAAGAUUUAUCGCUUUGGGAUUGGCCCGCGUUGGGUUAGCUGGUUGGUGUGGUAACGGCGCACCAAGGCGACGAUCAAUAACUGGUCUGAGAGGAUGACCAGUCACACUGGGACUGAGACACGGCCCAGACUCCUACGGGAGGCAGCAGUGGGGAAUAUUGGACAAUGGGCGAAAGCCUGAUCCAGCCAUGCCGCGUGAGUGAAGAAGGCCUUCGGGUUGUAAAGCUCUUUCAGCGGGGACGAUGAUGACGGUACCCGCAGAAGAAGCCCCGGCUAACUUCGUGCCAGCAGCCGCGGUAA
rnacentral:rRNA from 1 species